GACGAACGCUGGCGGCGUGCUUAACACAUGCAAGUCGAACGGUAAGGCUCCAGCUUGCUGGGGUACACGAGUGGCGAACGGGUGAGUAACACGUGGGUGACCUGCCCUGCACUUCGGGAUAAGCCUGGGAAACUGGGUCUAAUACCGGAUAGGACCGCACCGUGAGGGUGUGGUGGAAAGUUUUUUCGGUGUGGGAUGGGCCCGCGGCCUAUCAGCUUGUUGGUGGGGUAAUGGCCUACCAAGGCGGCGACGGGUAGCCGGCCUGAGAGGGUGGACGGCCACAUUGGGACUGAGACACGGCCCAGACUCCUACGGGAGGCAGCAGUGGGGAAUAUUGCACAAUGGGCGGAAGCCUGAUGCAGCGACGCCGCGUGGGGGAUGACGGCCUUCGGGUUGUAAACUCCUUUCACCAUCGACGAAGGGUUUCUGACGGUAGAUGGAGAAGAAGCACCGGCUAACUACGUGCCAGCAGCCGCGGUAAUACGUAGGGUGCGAGCGUUGUCCGGAAUUACUGGGCGUAAAGAGCUCGUAGGUGGUUUGUCGCGUCGUCUGUGAAAUUCCGGGGCUUAACUCCGGGCGUGCAGGCGAUACGGGCAUAACUUGAGUACUGUAGGGGAGACUGGAAUUCCUGGUGUAGCGGUGAAAUGCGCAGAUAUCAGGAGGAACACCGGUGGCGAAGGCGGGUCUCUGGGCAGUAACUGACGCUGAGGAGCGAAAGCAUGGGGAGCGAACAGGAUUAGAUACCCUGGUAGUCCAUGCCGUAAACGGUGGGCGCUAGGUGUGGGUUUCCUUCCACGGGAUCCGUGCCGUAGCUAACGCAUUAAGCGCCCCGCCUGGGGAGUACGGCCGCAAGGCUAAAACUCAAAGGAAUUGACGGGGGCCCGCACAAGCGGCGGAGCAUGUGGAUUAAUUCGAUGCAACGCGAAGAACCUUACCUGGGCUUGACAUAUACAGGAUCGCGCCAGAGAUGGUGUUUCCCUUGUGGCUUGUAUAUAGGUGGUGCAUGGUUGUCGUCAGCUCGUGUCGUGAGAUGUUGGGUUAAGUCCCGCAACGAGCGCAACCCUUGUCUUAUGUUGCCAGCACGUUGUGGUGGGGACUCGUAAGAAACUGCCGGGGUUAACUCGGAGGAAGGUGGGGAUGACGUCAAAUCAUCAUGCCCCUUAUGUCCAGGGCUUCACACAUGCUACAAUGGUCGGUACAGUGGGUUGCCAGUCCGUGAGGGCGAGCUAAUCCCGCAAAGCCGGUCUCAGUUCGGAUCGGGGUCUGCAACUCGACCCCGUGAAGUCGGAGUCGCUAGUAAUCGCAGAUCAGCAACGCUGCGGUGAAUACGUUCCCGGGCCU
rnacentral:rRNA from 1 species